UACGUAGGGACCGAGCGUUAUCCGGAUUCAUUGGGCGUAAAGAGCUCGUAGGCGGCUAUUCAAGUCGAACGUGAAAUCUCGGAGCUCAACUCCGAGCCUGCGUUCGAUACUGGGUAGCUAGAGUCUGGUAGGGGGAUCUGGAAUUCCUGGUGUAGCGGUGGAAUGCGCAGAUAUCAGGAGGAACACCGGUGGCGAAGGCGGGAUCCUGGGCCAGUACUGACGCUGAGGAGCGAAAGCGUGGGGAGCAAACGGG
rnacentral:rRNA from 1 species